rnacentral:lncRNA from 1 species
AGGGAGAGUACAGAGGACGCUUCACAAUAUGUGAUGGGAUUUCAUGACUCAAGAAUGAACCAAAGAGGUACAAAUGCUUGCGUUUUUGCCAGCUUCAAUUACCUUUUUCUGUCUCAUUCUUCCCCAUUAUCUACCCUAGCUCAUAGCACUUGUCGUAGGGGCGGCCUGGCCUUGUUCAACUCCAGCAAACAGGAACGUUAAGAACUCCUUGAUCGGAUUAGAUCAAGAGUGCAUUUAGCUCCCUGUUUAAUCUCUGGCUCAAAGCCAAAAAUGACAGAGCAAGCAAACAGGUGCAGAGGGAAAUCUGCUGUUGUGUGUGUUUGCCGGUGGCAUCCAGGAAUGUAUCUACCUGUGAAGGACGACAGCUGUGUGUACCCAUAUUUCAUCAUGAAUUUUCAUAGAAAUAUAGGAAACUGCUUUAUAGUGCAUCAGACCAUUGGUCCAUCUAAACAACUUGGGCCCAAAGUACUUUAAGGGCUUAUGCUCCACUUUGACUGAAAUCAUCUAAUGGGGCACUUCUGGCAGUUUCUUAUGCCCCUGAGGCUCAGUUGGCUUUCACCAGAGGCUGAGCCUUUGGUGUGGCCCUGUGGAAUUCCCUGCCACUAGAAGGUUUGGCAGGAAGCACAUCUUCGUUCUUUCAGGUGUCUUUCAUAAGCUUGUUUUGUGUUCUGACUUGCCAUGUCUUUUAUGAAAGUGAGGAUUAUUAAUUCAUAAAGAAAUAUGUGAAUGAAUAAAUACCUAGCUCAAUAUUGAAAGCCAACAGUGCCUCUGCAGAUUUUCAGGCAAGAUUCUCUCCAAGCCCUACCUGGAAAUGCCAUUGCAGGUUGAGUCGGGGACCUUCUAUAUGCAAGGCGGGUGCAGUGCUACUGAGCGAAUCCCUAAAAAUUAUUUAUAUCAAGAUCCAGGAAAUCACAAGGUUUUCUCCCUUGUUGGCAGCAACCAGUUGUCGUCUCUUGCUUUCCCCCUCCCACCUGACCGGCUUGGAUUUAUUAGCAGCUGGGUUUAUUUCUGACUGAAAAUGACAAAGGCUUCAAAUUGCAAUAUAGAUUUUGACCAAACUCCUACCAAACCUCCCUUGCUUUACUCCCUGACUGACGUCAGCUGAGGCCUUUUAUAUCAAGACCCUUCAUCUUGUGCUGAAUGCUAUUAAAUUAUAACGGGGUGGUGUGGGUUUUUGGUUUUUUCGUUUUGUUUUUGCUGACACACCACAAAGGCCUUCCACAUUAUUCUACAAGCAAUUUAAUCCUUCCAAAAUAGGGGAGGGAGGGUUGGGAGACAAAAAUGAAACAGCAGCAAUCUCAUUUCUGUGCUUCUAUUAAACCCCAGGAGGGACCAGCCUGUUUUGCUUUUAAACUCCUCUAACCAUCUGGUUUUGAUCUGCAUGCAAAUCAAUCAUUAGGUGCACUUAUUGGCUCGUUUGUUACAUUGCACCUUUGUUAUAUUGUCAGAUUAAUGGAGCAAACCUUCCCCAGCGUGAUCUAGUUUAGGAGCCAAAGUCACCAUGACGUUAAACCUAACAUGAGCCCUUGUGCAGUUGGUGGUGCAGACAACUGCAUUGGGACUGUCGCCCCUCUCUGAAUCAGACAUAGGCUUCCAUGGGGUAACAUCACUUAGGGUUACCAUACAUCCAGAAUUUCCCGGACAUAUCCAGAAUAUCGCCUUCAUCAGCAGUGUCCGAACGGAAUGUCUGGAAAAAGCCUUGCUGAUUUCCCCUUAAAAUAGCUCAAAAGUGGCUUCUUCUUUUUUGGGCAAUCUUGCCAACAACUUUUCUGUCCGGAUUUUCACUGUUUGAAAUAUGGCAACCCUAGCAUUGCUCCUCCUUCACUGUCUAACCCAGUGAUGGCCAAACUUGGCCCUCCAGCUGUUUUGGGACUACAGUUCCCAUCAUCCCUGACCACUGGUCCUGCAUAGCUGUCAAUUUACAGAUUUGAAAAUAAGGGACCACCAGCCUUGAAAAUAAGGGACCAGCAGCCAAAAUAAGGGACCUGCAGCCUCACCUGUUCCAGGCACUCCAGUCUUCCUGUCCUCCUGCAGUCUGGUCAAACUCAUGCUGGUAGCUUCGAGAACACUGUCCAACCAACUUUUUAACCAGAGGUUCAACUGAAUAGAAUCUGAAUCACAUGCACCACAAGGCCUAUGCAGCCUCAACUUAAGAUGGCUCCCCGGCCUGGCUUUGCACUGCAAAGUUUGCAGCAGCACGUGCAACAAAAUGGCGUCCAGCGUUCAAAAAACCCCUCAGCUUGCAUUAACUAGCCACACACAAGGCAUGCAAGCUCCACCCCCCAGUCAUUCUUAGACUUCUUAUUGGGUGAGCAACACAGCCAAAUAACACAGUUGGAGCCUCCCUCCUCUCUGGCCGGCAGGGAGGGAGGGAGAGGAGCUGCUUUCUUUGAAAUUUAAGGGACAUCAUUUAAGGGACAUCCAUCAAUAAGGGACAGCAGCGGGACAUGGCGCUGGAAUAAGGGACUGUCCCUUCAAAUAAGGGACACUUGACAGCUAUGGGUCCUGUUAGCUAGGGAUUGAAGGGGGCCAUUAGAAUAUUGUUCUCUAUAUGAUCCCAAAAACUGUUUAAGGCAUUUUCUCCUCUCUCAUAUGUUAUCCCAAAGGGGGGAGGUUUUUCCAAAGGGGGAAGGUUUUUCACCAUCCAGAAGAACAAGGCUUUUUAUUGCUUAGAUGUUACAGUGAAAAUAGGCCUAUCUCAGGAAUGUCUAGGCCUAGGCGGGUGAAAGAUAAGAGCAAGGUUGAAUAUGUGUUAUUCUGGCCCCAUACGGGGGAAAGACUGAAGACAAGGAGGGUAAUGCAGGAGACAAAGCCCCAUUUUAUUGCUAUCAGUAUAAAUCACAUGUUUUACAUUUGAACACGUGUCGAGGUUCAUGGCGUGGAGAGGCUGGUGCAGGAAGAAGGGGGCAAGCAAACCCAUAUAAGGACAUAGGAAGUUGCUAUGAUUUACGAUUUCCUAGAAAUCAGGUGGUAUUAUUCUGCAAAUGUAUAAAAAGGGCUGGCAAACCCAGAGAGGGGGGCAGGCAAUGAACUUUACCUUGUCUGUACCAUUAUUUUGUCAUGACAAAAUAAAAAUGAUUUUACUGCUGUCAAAUUGACUCUUUGAAGCGAAUUCUGAUACUCCGAAGGGAAGGAACUAAGAAAAGGUCUUUCAGGGAUGAUGAGAGUUGUAGUCCCAAAACAGCUGGAGGGCCACGUUUGGCCAUCACGGGUCUAACCUAAUACUCUCCACACGGUUUGGACUACAAUUUCCAUCAGCCCCCAGUGAGCAAUGUGCUGGCUUGCACUGAUGGGAGUUGUAGUCCUAAAAGUCUGGAGGGCAUCUGGUUGGCAAAGGUUGCCUUAGCCUAUGUUGGUGCAAUAGAAAAGGCAGAGGAAGGAGCAGGGGCGCCGGAAGAGGGGUGUAGGAUGUGUGGCCCACCCCAGAUGUAAUCCUUGAGGGGGGUGACCAAAUGGCACAUUGCGGGGGGGGGCACUUACUACAGGGCCUGGCCUGCAGCACACCCGAGCCAUGCGUCUUUCCUGGGAGUGACGUGGUGGCUUGGGGACCUGCGCUGCCCGAAACGGCAGCAUGGGGCUUGCAUCUGGCAGGCGGACUCCGUGGACCGCUCACUGCGCUGCCCCCCUUGGCGGAUCACCGCAGCACCCCCGUGCACAGAUCGCCCCGCCCCCGUGGGCGGUUUGCCCUGCUGCUCCAGGUGCCCCACUCCAGGUGUCGGAGCAGCUAGCUACGCCCCUGGGAAGGAGGAAGCUAGCAGAGUCCAUGCAAUAUCUUAUUUCAACUGCAAGAAGGCUCACACUUUUCUAUUUUUCCUAGAGAAAAAUGCUUAGAAUUAUAGAAGGGACCAUGAGGAUCAUCUAGUUCAACCCCCUGAAAUGCAGGAAUGGGAUGGGGCUUGAACCCUGGGAUUAAGAGUGUCAUGCUCUACUGACUGAGCUAUCCAAAAAUUUAUUUCUGUGGCAAACCUCAUAUAGGCAGCUCCCAGUCUAGUGUGUGAAUUGGAACAUAGGUGUUUUGUUUUUUUAUUGAGUUUAUAUCCUACCUUUUUCUCCAGGGGAGCCCAAGGUGGUGUACAGAGUUCUCCCUCUCCUUAUUUAAUCCCCACAAUUAGCUGAGAGGGUCACCCAGUGAGCUUCAUGCCAGAGUGUAGAUUUGAACCUUUAUGUCCCUAAAUUCAAUGCUCUCAAUUGUCCCUAAAUUCAAUGCUCUCGAUUUCACAUUUUUAUUUUUAUUUUUUGAUGCAACUCACGUCUCUGAACCCAAACCAAACUGCUUUCUUUUAAAAAUUAAAAAGCCCUCUUUUUAAGAAUGUGCAAAAUUAAAAGAGGGGCCGCUCCCUUACUUACAAGUAAGCUUUGUCAUGGCUAAUGUGGCAGCAGCACAUUUACUCAAUAAUAAUAAUAAUAAUAAUAAUAAUAAUAAUAAUUUAUUUAUACUCCACCCAUCUGGCUGGGUUUCCCCAGCCUGUCUGGGUGGCUCCCAACAGAAUUAAAAGCACAAUGAAACAUUAAACAUUAAAAACCUCACUAAACAGGGCUACCCUCUUCUUUGCCUCAUUCUGAAGAAGGAACAGGGGCUCCUUCCUCAGUCCAAGGCAUCCUGGAAGUGGUGCACUGUGAGAAUGCCUUGCCAUCACUACUUUUCCAGGGUGCUGGGACAUUCUGUGAAAAACACUUUAAAAGUUCCAAGUAGUUCAGAGCAAAACAGAGAAAAGGGGACUAAAAGUUAAGCAGAGAUAAGAGCCAGGAAGGGGGCAUCUGUGGCUUGUUUCACCUCAGGCGGCACCGUGCCUUGCACUGGUGCUGGGAAAUGAGAAGGCAUGCACUUGUGAAUGAACCCAUUCAACAUCAACACAGGCCAGAAAUGAAUCUAUCCAUCCUUUCCUGAUUGUGGUAUCCAACUAAAACUCAAGGGUUUCCUCUUGUGCAAUGGGACUGCCUUCCUCUUUCCUCUGCAUUCCCCCAAAUCUGUCCUAGGGGUUGCCUCAAGCCUCCAGAGCAGAACUGGGAAGGGCAUGGGGCACAUGAGGGGCAGAGGGAGGAAAGGGAGGAGAGUUAUUUUGCACAAGCAUAAAUUCUUGCACUGAUGGGACACUUUAGUUGGAUACCGCUAUUUAGUUCCCAUCCUGUUUGCACUUCAUACCUUGCAAUAUUAGGGUUGCCAGGUCAAGAGAAUCCAGGCCCUAAGAUUUCAAGGUCCAGACCUCAGACCUAAGGAGUGGCCGCUGGUGAAGCUAUGGGGGGCAGGCCACUGGUGAUGUCAUGGGAUGAGUCCUGGAGACAGAAGUUAGUUGGGAGAGAAGAGCGAAGAAGGACAGCCCAGCCCCCGCCCCCCGCAAGUGUCUAUGCUAUAAUUUGAAGCCAGCCUUUCACUUGGAGAUCUGGCAGCCUUAUACAAAAUACAUGUGCCUCCCAACAGGGAGUUGAUCUGUGUCUAAGAGUGAAGUAAGAAACAUCUGUCAUGUUUAGGAGGGAGAACUUCGAAGUCAUAUGAGCAUCCAUGCUGUUCAUGGGAAAUCUAUUCCCUCUCAUUCUUACAGAUCCUACUACAAUAUUUUGAUGGGAGUGGAGAGAGAUGAGGGAAGGAACAGCACAUCUUGGGACUUGAUACGCACAAGAAAUCAGUUCCUCAUCAAAGCAGCUGCAUUGGUUUGAAGGGCUACUCCUCUGAUAUAUAAACUGCCAUUGCUGCUGAUUUACAUAGAUAAUAAAAAUGACACACCCACUUAAAUUCCUAAUCAUAUCUUUUUUUAAAGAAACAACAACAACAGCUAAGAUACAAGAAGCUUCUCUGUGGAAAAAGCAAGUCCUGGGGAUGUUCUGUUUAGUAUGUUCUCCACUUCCAUGAUGGCUAACAUGUUCUAGGGUUGCUUUCCUUUGGAUGAGGGAGGGAGGGAGCACACUGGAGAUGUGCAGUGUUUUUGAAAUAUUUACAUGCCAUAAACAGAGCAGAAGUGAAAGCAAAUUACACGCGUGCUCCUACAAGGCUUAGGUGUAGGCCACGUUCAGGCCAUACACUUAAAGCACUAUGGGAACUGUAGUUUGUUAGGGGUGCUGAGAGUUGCUAGAAGACACACACACUCCAAACGCAUUCCUCUCCCAGAGCUACUAUUCCCAGAAUUCUCAGGGAAGAGAGAUUGACUGUUAAACCAGCUCUUGGAGGGAAAUAGCAGUUUCCCAAGGAUUUUCAGCACCCUUAACAAACUACAGCUCCCAGGAUUCCUUGGGGGAAGCCAUGACUGUUUACUGUAGUAUUAUAACACUUUAAACGAAUGGUGUGAAUGUACCCUACUUCAUGCCAGAUCUCCAGAGUGAGGCCUUGUUCCCCUAAGGUGUUUUCAGGCUUCAGUCGUCUCAAUACUCCUCUCCGGUUCUACAUCAGCCAAACUGUGCAUGGCUCUCUCUUUGCAUGCAUACUUGCCCCCAGCUCCUAAUGCGGCCAUGUUAGGGAGAGGGUUGCCUUCCCAAGGCACUGAUAGCCAUCUCCUUCAAAAACUGUCAAGAGAGAUCUUGACCUGUCUCUAAACCCAGGGAAGUGCUGCAGUUCCUUGGAUGUAAUCUGUUGAUGUGAAUAGCAUGUUGGGCUAGGAGGACAGAGCCCCUUCUCUCCCUGCUCUCUCUCUUUCUGACAUCCCAUAACAAUAUCAGAAGAGAGCUGUAUCAGGCCAGUGGCCCAUCUAGUCCAGCAUCCUUUUCUCACAGUACCCAAUCAGAUGUCUGUGGCAAGUCUGCGAGCUGGACCUGAGAACAAAAGCAAACUUCCCCACUUGGGAUUCCUGGAGACAGUAUUCUGACAGUGGGGGUGGAACAAAGUCACCUUGACUAGUAGCCACCAACACAACCAAAACAAAGGAGAAAGUCUCCUAUAAUUUCCUCCAUGAAUUUGUCUCAUCCCUUUUUAAAAGCCAUUCAUUCUGGUGGCCCACACAGUAGGAGAAAUGUCCCUAAUUCAAAUUUGCAAUGUGUGAACAAACACUUUCUGAAUUUUCCAACACCUAGCUACAUUGAAUGUUGAAUGCUACUGUUAUGAGAGAGGGAAAAGAACGUAAUGCCCAUGAAAUGCACGGGGGGGGGGAAACACCACUUAUCCUUAUUCAAUGAUGCUACAAGAUCAGAAGAGCGUCUUGGACUUAAGAACAGAAUGUCCUGGAGUUCUUCCUUUAGAAAUGCUCCAAGGCAUUCCUUGCUUCUCUCUCCUGCCUGCUCCGUUUUAACUCAGCCGUAUAAAUGAACAAUUAAAGCUGACUUUUUUAUUUUUAUUUUUUAAAAGAAAAAGUUAGUGUGACAUUCAAAUAAAGUGCCCACCCAAGUUGAAAAAGACGCUGGGCUCAGAUUCUUCCUACCCCGAAAGUUCUGAGAAUAUUAAUAACUGAAAGACUCCCAAAAGGCCCAGAAGAAAGUUUGCAGGCAUGUAUUUAAAAAUUAAUUUUAAAGUUAUAGAGAAAAUGGUUGAUACCCCACCAAAUAAAAAAAUAAAUCACCCACUCGGUGUCAUAGGAACAAAGUACUACCUCCUUUCUGACACAGAAUUCUUUUUUUAAAAAAGUGAAGUGAGCUCUAAGUUAAUAGCAAACCCUUUUUUUGCUUGCAAUGAAACUUGAAGAAUUUCCAUGAAAAAUAUCAGAAAUGUCUCUCUUUGUUUCGUUUUGCAGAAAACUUUGACCAUUCCACCCCUCAUUUGUAACUAGGGGUGCUGGAGAAUUAUGGCCUGAACAGAAAAUGUAUUUUCCAGAGCUCAUCUUUUCGUCCCAUGUUCAAGAUGGAAAUCAGUUUGGUGAAAAUGAUCAGUACAGUGGUACCUCUGGUUACGAAUGUUUCUGGUUAUGAAUGCUUUAGGUUAUGAGCUUCGCUAACCUGGAAGUAGCUGCUCCUGGUUGCAAACUUUGCCCCAGGAUGCAAACGGAAAUCAAGUGCCAGAGGCAGACGGGCAGUGGGAGGCCCCAUUAGCAAAAGCGCACCUCGGGAUAAGAACGGCUUCAGCUUAAGAACGGACCUCCUGAAUGAACUAAGUUCAUAACCAGAGAUACCACUGUACUAACAGUUGCUGAUGUUGCUUUCAGAGUGCAAAAAAGAAGCAAUUAAUUACUCCCCACCCCCCGGUUGGAUUGUUCUUUCCUUUGCACUGAAGUGAAUGGUCUGGAAUGAGAGAAUAGCAAUGUAAUCCACCCAAUCAAAUUAUGUAAAUUAAGUAACAAAAUUUCAUCACAGUCAACUGCAAGUCGGUUAACAUAGUCUUGGGUGGUGUGCAAAUUGCAGCGGAAUGGAAACGCUGCUAUGUGCAACAAAUGCAGGGCAGAACAGAAAAGAGUGCCUUCUCACACUGCUACCUCCUUCUGCCACAUUGAGAAGCCUUCAAAUUAGCAGAACAGACGUCUUAUUCCCAUCACAUUAUCAUAUUUCUGCUCUUCCUUCCCCCUGAAAAAAAUCAGAUCCCUCAGGAGAAUAUUUUCUUCUCUCUCCAUCAAAAAAAUCCCCCUCAAACAGAAUUUGACAUGUCAGAGUCUAAAUUGGACUUUGCUCAGAAUAAAAUACAUUCAGAAUUACAUAACACAGAUGUAAAAAGAGGUUUAGGGGCGGGGAAAAUCAAUGAAUCAAACUAGAUCAAAUCUCUCUCCCCCUCUCUUCUACAGCAUGACGGCAAGGAGGCUUUCGAUGAGGGGUUGAAUUAACAGGAGAGUGAAUCUGUUCACCACGAAACACAACUGAAGGAGAAUUUCAUUCAGCUCUAUCAUUGCCAAUAUGUGGCUCUUGUGCUUACAGGAUGGGGGAAAGAAUGUUGCUUUCAGCCCGACUGCACUAUUGACUCAAAAGCAGGGGAGGGGGUCCACUUUUUAGAGCAGAAAGGGUUUGCAGCAAGGCAAUCUCAUUUGAGGGCCUGGAGUAUCCACAAUCUGACCUGGGAUUUUAAAGAUUCUGUACAUAAUGCUGAGGACUAGCAACUUGAUGUUCAUAUAUCACACACAGAGAGAUAGAUAUACAGAGAUAUAAUUUAGGAGGCAGUUCUCUCAAUACGCUUCAUUGUUAAUCCAUCCCCGAUACAGCAAAUGCCUUAAACGACUUCAUACCAUGAAAGGAGCCGGACUUUUAUGUGCGGAUAAGAGCUUGCAACUGACCCAGCCCCAUCUAUUCUUCUGAGAUCUGAUAUCACAACCAAAGCAAGUCAAUUCUGCAGGUCCAAAACAUAUCCGGGCACAGACAUUCGUUUUGUAAGAAGUUAAUGGAUUUUGCAAGUGCAAUUAGCUUUAAUCUAGAUGUCAGAGCCUGCCUGUCAUGCAACCCUAGGGCCCGUGACAUUACAAAGGGAAGGCUGGUGCCCUUAGCACCCAUUAUGAGAUCAUUAAAUAAUUUGUGAAUGUCAGCCUGGAAUGGUAAAAAUCUCAUGAAAGAGGGGUGGCAAUAUAAUAAAGGAGAACAGAGGGAUGGGUGUUGUCCACCUCCCCUAGUUGUCUCCUUCCUGGACGAAAUCCAUUGCAAUCCUCUGGUCAGCGUGAGGGUCUGUUCCAUUGGUGAACAGAGGCACAGAUGUGGCACUUAGGGUGCAUUCAGGAGGGGGCUUAUUUUGCUGAUUAUAAUGGUGGCAUUUACGCCCCACUUUCUAACAUUCAUUUCACACUGCAGUAGAAUACUAAACAAUGUUGAUUUACAGUUAGGGUUUAUCCACCCUUACUUUUUGCCUUGCUCUUUGCAGACACAGGUCCACACUUAAAAGUACCAUGUCCAAGUGUUUGUUUAAUUUUAAGGUUUUUUGUCUCGGAGCUUUCCCCAUGAAAACCUACUCUUUAGCAGUCAGUUGAAGCAAAUGUCAAUUUGAGUUUUAAGUGGAUUGCUCUUUACUCUAUUACAGGCCAACAUGUGGAAUAUACCCCAAGUUUGGGACUGUUAAUUAUUUUUAAAGAAGGGCACUCUGACCAUUGUUAUAAAGAACUGUGUAAUUACUUUUCUUUCAGUAGCAUCAUACCUUCUAGUGGUGCAGAAUUGGAAAGAACUGGAACAUCUGUGUAUCUCUUGUUGGAAACAAAAUGUACUGUGUAUUGCUGUUUCAGAAAAAAUUAACAAAGAGAUUACAUGCAUUGAAUAUGAUGUAGACAAUUUUGUUGAAAUAUGGCAUUCCUUUUAUAAAAUACUUUACUGAUAACCUUGAAAAAUGGAAACUAUUGAAAUCACAGGUUGGAUUUCAGCAAAUUUAACUGGUUUGACCCUUCCUGGAGAGGGAAGGAGAGUUGGGAUUUUAUUUUCAUAUUUUGUAGUCUGUACUAAGGAGAAACAUACCUCUCGUGAGAUUAAACAGUCUUAAAUUUCAAGAAAAAGAACCUGCAAGCAUCAGAUCCCUUGGAAAACCCUUGCAGGAGCAGACCACUGGAGAGCACAUGAGCACUACUUACAGAAAACGGGGGUUCCCAAGCUGUGACCCUUGUCACGAGCAGUGAUGUUACAAACACAUGCAUCCCUAUGGAAGUUUGGAAAGUAUGUGUGUCUAUGGCUUGGAAUUUCUGCUGUGUAAUCAGGUGAGUUGUACUCAGAGUAGACCUGAUAGAAUUAAAAGAUCUAAGGUCACAGCCACAUUAUACAUUUAAAGCGUAUAAUAGUACCUCAGGUUAAGAGCUUUGCUUCAGGAUGAGAACAGAAAUCGUGUGGCGGUGGCGGCACAGCAGCAGCGGGAGGCCCCAUUAGCUAAAGUGGUACCUCAGGUUAAGAACAGUUUCAGGUUAAGAACGGACCUCCAGAACGAAUUAAGUUCUUAACCCGAGGUACCACUGUAGUGUGUUAGGGGUGCUGGAAAAUGUAGCUGUGGGUGGAGUCUCCUAACAACUCUCUGUUCCCUUAGCAAACUGUGGCUCCCAAGAUUCUUCAGAGUUGAAGCCAUGGCUGUUAAAGCGAUAUAAUAGUGUUUUCUCUGUACCAUGUGAAUAUGACCUAUGUCAGCCAUUCCCAUUAAUUUAAGAAGUCUAGUCCAAGUAUGUUUAACCAUGGGUACAGCCCUCUGACUUUGUCCCAGGUUCCCUUUCCCUUCCUCACUCCAACAGCUGGGAAUAGUAUCUGACACUGCUCUUUGGAGAUGUUGCCUCAGGCGCUAUCACAUGGCUUACCCAUCUGAUGGGCUAUCCACACUGCCUUGACUUUUGUGAUGUAACUCCAGAUUGCUUUCCAGCCCAGAGGAAUGUAUUGCUGCACUUUCAGGCUCAUUUGUUUCCUAAGCUGCUUCCCAAUGUGUUCAAAUCAAUAAGCAAAACAUUCUUCCCAUCACAACUUGUGAUGAUGCUAUGGGUGGUGGUGUCGAAAACAUGCUUCGCCUGCUUACAAAUCAAGGGCAGAAACAUCCUACCUGUCCAUCCCAAGCAUUUUCUUGUUCACUUUAUUAAGGCAACCUCAGAUGGAGGGGGGGGGGGUAGAAAUAUAGGACAGCAACCAAUAACAUAUCUAUGUUCAUUAUAUGCAAGCUGAAGUUACUAAAACAGCUAUUCAACUGAUAGUAGACAAAAAUGUCUUCCAAAGUCGCUAUUGGCUUUAAGGCACUAUUGCAGAAACCCAUUUCUCUCUCCAGUGUGCCCAUCGUAUACUCUCAUGCUGGCAUUCAUCAUCCAGUUAAGAUGAAUUAUUGAAUUGCCGAAAGAAAAUUAAAGUGAAAAGUGGAUAGUGAUACUUUCUGGUGCCCCUACAUGCCACCCUUAAUCGUACAUUAUACAAACCCAUAAAAAAUUAAAAGUGACCGUGUCUACACAAUUACACCUAACUUGGCAGAGAGGAAUUGAAAUGCCAAAUGAAAUAAAUCGCGUCAUAUCUGAGGCUUAUCGCACAUAGAUAGUCAUGUAUAUAUAAUGAUAAAAUCCUCUCUCUGCUAAGAGGCACAAGGAGAAGCCUUCAUUUUUUGAAGCAAAGAACCUCAACUUCUGCAACGCAAGGUGUACAAUUUUUAUUUAUUGCUUUUUUAUCAUCUGCAGGAGCUAGCAUGGUUUCAUGUCUUUCCUGGGGCUGUAAUUUGCCUCCAUUCUUUGUUAUGCACAGCAGACACAAAGCGUUCUUACACUUAUUUAUUUAUUUCCACUUACCUUCCCAGCUCUUAGCAUAUUACAUGCAUUAAACUCAAGCAGAACACUAUCAAAUUACAGCCAGCAAAUGAUGAAGAAAGGAACAGAACAUCUCUGGGAAUGGAGAAACCACUGCCAGUCUGUACUUGUGAUUUAAAAAUAAAAUAAUACAAAACAAUCUUCUCCAAAAAGAAAUACCUGCCCGCAGACUGUCUCGCCAGAUAAACGAGUCCCUUGGGCCUUAUCCGGCCCGUGGGCCUUAGUUUGGGGACCCCUGCUCUAGUUAUCUCCCGCUUGGACUACUGCAAUGCGCUCUAUGUGGGGCUACCUUUGAAGGUGACCCAGAAACUACAACUAACCCAGAAUGCGGCAGCUAGACUGGUGACUGGGAACAGCCGCUGAGACCACAUAACACCGGUCUUGAAAGACCUACAUUGGAUCCCAGUACAUUUCCGAGCACAAUUCAAAGUAUUGGUGCUGACCUUUAAAGCCCUAAAUGGCCUCGGUCCUGUAUACCUGAAGGAGCAUCUCCAACCCCAUCAUUCAGCCUGGACUUUGAGGUCCAGCUCCAAGGGCCUUCUGGCGGUUCCCUCCCUGCGAGAAGUGAGGUUACAAGGAACCAGGCAAAGGGCCUUCUCAGUAGUCACACCUGUCCUGUGGAACGCCCUACCAUCAGAUGUCAAAAAGAUAAACAACUAUCUGACUUUUAGAAGACAUCUGAAGGCAGCCCUGUCUAGGGAAGCUUUUAUUAUCUGAUGAAUUAUUAUAUUUUAAUGUUUUGUUGGAAGUAGCCCAGAGUGGCUGGGGAAACCCAGCUAGAUGGGAGGGGGGUUAUAAAUAAUAAAUUAUUAUUGUUAUUACUAUUAUAGGAACACAGGAAACUUCCUUGCACUGAGGCAGUCUGCUUGUCCAUCUGGGUAUUGUCAACACGGACUGACGAUGGCUUUCCAAGGUUUCAGAUAGCCAUACCUAGAGCUGCCAGAGAUUGACCCUGGGAUCGGUGGCAGACUUUGGGCUCUCAAAUUUCAGCAGCGGCACCCUGUGUGAUGCUAAAAUUCUGUGUCCCCUUACCUCUCACACAACAUUUUCUACAGCAUUGUUUUGGCACUCCCUGCAACACAGUGCCCAGUGCAGCCGGUCAUGCUACCCUAAAACUGCCUCUGCUGGGACCUUCUGCAUGCAAAGGUGAUGCUCUAAUAUUGAGCUUCAGCCACUACCUUCAAAAAUCUUGCCAUGGGUGUAAUGCAAUUUAGCAAGCAUGACAUCAUGUUCCAAGCUAGCUCAUGUUUCCACUUGGGCUGAGAGUGCAGUCAUGUGCAGGAGAGGUGUGUUACAGGGAAUAUAAUCACACCACCUUUCCAAAGAUGGAAUUACUACUCUGUGAAGAAAGGCUGCAGCAUUUGAGUGUUUAGUUCAGAGAAAAAUAUAAGAUGUGACAUGAUGGAAACUUAUAAAAUGAUGCAAGACUUGGAUAAAGUGGAUAAAAAGAUGCUUUUCUCCCUCUUAUAACACCAGAAGUUGUGGACAUCCAAUGAACUGAACGUCGGAAGAUUCAGGACUGAUAAAAGAACCUCCUUCUUCACCCAGCACCUUGUUAAACUAUGGAACUCCCUUCUACAGAAGGCAGUGAUGGACACUAACCUGGAUGGCAUUAAAAGAGGAUCAGACAAGUUCAUGGAGGAGAAGGCUAUCAAUGACUACUGGCUACAAUGACUAUGCUAUCCAUCUAUGGAUGGAAGCAAUAAUGCUUCUGAGUUGGUGAAAACCACAGGAGGUGAGAGUGCUGUUGUGCUCAAACCCUACUAGAGGGCUUUCCGCAGGCAUCUAGAUGGUCACCAUGAUAACUGUAUUCUGGAC